GCGCAGCAGUCGAGAAACCUCCGCAAUGCUCGAAAGAGCGACGGGGGACUCCAAGUGCCUACGCUUUGCGUAGGCUUUUCCCAAGCCUAAAAAGCUUGGGGAAUAAGGGCUGGGUAAGACGGGUGCCAGCCGCCGCGGUAAUACCCGCAGCCCGAGUGGUGGCCGCUUUUAUUGGGCCUAAAGCGUCCGUAGCCGGUCUGGUAAAUGCCUGGGUAAAUCGUCUGGCUCAACCAGACGAAUUCCGGGUAGACUGCCAGACUAGGGACUGGAGGGAGGAGAGGGUACUCCGGGGGUAGGGGUGAAAUCCUGUAAUCCUCGGAGGACCACCGGUGGCGAAGGCGCUCUCCUAGGACGGGUCCGACGGUGAGGGACGAAAGCCAGGGGAGCAAACCGGAUUAGAUACCCCCGUAGU
rnacentral:rRNA from 1 species